CAACUAUAGAUUGAUAAGUUGUGGUAUUUAUUGAUAGAUUGAUCUUAAUGCUUGUUCUAGAUUAGCUACCUAGAAUACUGAAUCUAGGAAUCUGCAUGAGUCAAGCAACCUUGACCAUCCCGUCCUGAAUCUAAUCUGUCAGACUACACGAUGGGAAAAAGGCUACCGCUGAACCCGGAAGCUAGUUUUCAUUAUCAAUUUGCGCCUAGGGCUUAACUAGAAGCAUCGAUCGAUACUGUCUUUUGACAAUCGAUCGAUCUUGCGAAAGAUGUAUCGAUCGAUGUCCCUAUAGGACCAUCGAUCAACACUUUCUUGUGGUCAAUAAAUGACAAUUGAGAUCCAAGAUCUAGUUAGUUUACCAGUGAAACAUUGCCAUUGCUGAUCACUGUGUUAAGGGGUUGAGUUCUAACAUAUCAUGCAAGCAACUGAUAAACAUCUAUAGGAUUAUAAUCUCUAACACAUGAAUAGAAACCCUGCAUAUAAUAUCUUUCCAAUAGGUUACAC
rnacentral:lncRNA from 1 species